rnacentral:rRNA from 1 species
UACAGAGGGUGCAAGCGUUAAUCGGAAUUACUGGGCGUAAAGCGCACGUAGGCGGCUUGGCAAGUUGGAUGUGAAAUCCCCGGGCUCAACCUGGGAACUGCAUUCGAUACUGUUUGGCUAGAGUAUGAGAGAGGGAGGUAGAAUUCCACGUGUAGCGGUGAAAUGCGUAGAUAUGUGGAGGAAUACCGGUGGCGAAGGCGGCCUCCUGGCUUAAUACUGACGCUGAGGUGCGAAAGCGUGGGGAGCAAACAGG